CCUACGGGCGGCAGCAGUGGGGAAUAUUGGACAAUGGGGGCAACCCUGAUCCAGCCAUGCCGCGUGUGUGAAGAAGGCCCUCGGGUUGUAAAGCACUUUCAGUGAGGAAGAACGCCUGGUGGUUAAUACCCAUCAGGAAAGACAUCACUCACAGAAGAAGCACCGGCUAACUCCGUGCCAGCAGCCGCGGUAAUACGGAGGGUGCGAGCGUUAAUCGGAAUUACUGGGCGUAAAGCGCGCGUAGGUGGCUUGAUAAGCCGGUUGUGAAAGCCCCGGGCUCAACCUGGGAACGGCAUCCGGAACUGUCAAGCUAGAGUGCAGGAGAGGAAGGUAGAAUUCCCGGUGUAGCGGUGAAAUGCGUAGAGAUCGGGAGGAAUCCCAGUGGCGAAGGCGGCCUUCUGGACUGACACUGACACUGAGGUGCGAAAGCGUGGGUAGCAAACAGGAUUAGAUACCCCUAGUC
rnacentral:rRNA from 1 species